rnacentral:rRNA from 1 species
AUUGAACGCUGGCGGCAGGCCUAACACAUGCAAGUCGAGCGGAUGAAGGGAGCUUGCUCCUGGAUUCCGCGGCGGACGGGUGAGUAAUGCCUAGGAAUCUGCCUGGUAGUGGGGGAUAACGUCCGGGAACGGGCGCUAAUACCGCAUACGUCCUGAGGGAGAAAGUGGGGGUUCUUCGGACCUCACGCUAUCAGAUGAGCCUAGGUGGGAUUAGCUGGUUGGUGGGGUAAAUGCCUACCAAGGCGACGAUCCGUAACUGGUCUGAGAGGAUGAUAGGUCACCUGGGAACGGAGACACGGUCCAGACGCCUAAGGGAGGGAGCAGUGGGGAAUGUUGGACAAUGGGCGAAAGCCAGAUCCAGCCAUGCCGCGUGUGUGAAGAAGGUCUUCGGAUUGUAAAGCACUUUAUGUUGGGAGGAAGGGCAGUAAGUUAAUACCUUGCUGUUUUGACGGUACCUACAGAAGAAGCACCGGCUAACUUCGUG